AUUGAACGCUGGCGGCAGGCCUAACACAUGCAAGUCGAACGAGUGGCGGACGGGUGAGUAAUGUCUGGGAAACUGCCUGAUGGAGGGGGAUAACUACUGGAAACGGUAGCUAAUACCGCAUACCAUCAGAUGUGCCCAGAUGGGCUUAGCUUGUAUGUGGGGUAACGGCUCACCAAGGCGACGAUCCCUAGCUGGUCUGAGAGGAUGACCAGCCACACUGGAACUGGGACACGGUCAAGACUCCGACGGGAGGCAGCAGUGGGGAAUAUUGGAGAAUGGGCGGAAGCCUGAUGCAGCCAUGCCGCGUGUAUGAUGAAGGCCUUCGGGUUGUAAAGUACUUUCAGCGGGGAGGCGUUACACGGAGAAGAAGCACCGGCUAACGCCGUGCCAGCAGCCGCGGUAAUUC
rnacentral:rRNA from 1 species